rnacentral:pre_miRNA from 1 species
UUUGUACUCCCUCCGUCCCAAAAUUCUUGCCUUAAAUUUGUCUAAAUACGAAUGUAUCUAGUUACAUUUUAGUGUUAGAUACAUCCGUAUCUAAACAAAUGUAAGACAAGAAUUUGGGGACGGAGGGAAUACUAC